rnacentral:rRNA from 1 species
UCAACCUGAGAGUUUGAUCCUGGCUCAGAGCGAACGCUGGCGGCAGGCCUAACACAUGCAAGUCGAACGGACUCUUCGGAGUUAGUGGCGGACGGGUGAGUAACACGUGGGAACGUGCCUUUAGGUUCGGAAUAAGCCCGGGAAACUGGGUCUAAUACCGAAUGUGCCCUUCGGGGGAAAGAUUUAUCGCCUUUAGAGCGGCCCGCGUCUGAUUAGCUAGUUGGUAGUGUAAUGGACUACCAAGGCUACGAUCAGUAGCUGGUCUGAGAGGAUGACCAGCCACAUUGGGACUGAGACACGGCCCAAACUCCUACGGGAGGCAGCAGUGGGGAAUCUUGCGCAAUGGGCGAAAGCCUGACGCAGCCAUGCCGCGUGAAUGAUGAAGGUCUUAGGAUUGUAAAAUUCUUUCACCGGGGACGAUAAUGAC